CCUACGGGUGGCAGCAGUGGGGAAUAUUGCACAAUGGGGGAAACCCUGAUGCAGCGACGCCGCGUGAGUGAAGCAGUAUUUCGGUACGUAAAGCUCUAUCAGCAGGGAAGAAAAUGACGGUACCUGACUAAGAAGCCCCGGCUAACUACGUGCCAGCAGCCGCGGUAAUACGUAGGGGGCAAGCGUUAUCCGGAUUUACUGGGUGUAAAGGGAGCGUAGACGGCAGCGCAAGUCAGGAGUGAAAUCCCAUGGGUUAACCAUGGAACUGCUGUGGAAACUGUGCAGCUAGAGUGCAGGAGGGGGAAGCGGAAGUCCUAGUGUAGCGGUGAAAUGCGUAGAUAGUAGGAGGAACACCAGUGGCGAAGGCGGCUUACUGGACUGUAACUGACGUUGAGGCUCGAAAGCGUGGGGAGCAAACAGGAUUAGAUACCCGAGUAGUC
rnacentral:rRNA from 1 species